rnacentral:rRNA from 1 species
AUUGAACGCUGGCGGCAGGCCUAACACAUGCAAGUCGAACGAGUGGCGGACGGGUGAGUAAUGUCUGGGAAACUGCCCGAUGGAGGGGGAUAAUUACUGGAAACGGUAGCUAAUACCGCAUACCAUCAGAUGUGCCCAGAUGGGAUUAGCUUGUUGGUGGGGUAACGGCUCACCAAGGCGCCGAUCCCCGGCUGGUCUGAGAGGAUGACCAGCUAAAGUGGAACUGAGGCACGGUCGAGACACAUACGGGAGGCAGGAGUGGGGAAUAUUGCACAAUGGGCGCAAGCCUGAUAAAGCCAUGCCGCGUGUAUGAAGAAAGCCUUCGGGUUGUAAGGUACUUUCGGCGGGGAGACGUUACCCGCAGAAGAAGCACCGGCUAACUCCGUGCCAGCAGCCGCGGUGAUUC